CUGCCAAGCACUAUGUUGGGGAUGGAGGAACCACAAAGGGAAUCAAUGAGAACAACACAGUGAUAAGUAGACAUGGAUUGCUUAGCAUUCAUAUGCCAGCCUAUUAUAAUGCAAUCAUUAAGGGUGUUUCGACUGUCAUGGUCUCUUAUUCAAGCUGGAAUGGAGAAAAGAUGCAUGCCAAUCAUGAUCUAAUCACAAACUUUUUGAAGAACACAUUACACUUUAGGGGUUUUGUCAUAUCAG
rnacentral:sRNA from 1 species